rnacentral:tRNA from 1 species
GCCGCCUUAGCUCAGUUGGCCAGAGCAACGGAUUUGUAACCCGUAGGUCGUCGGUUCGAUUCCGACAGGCGGCUCCC